GACGAACCGAGCGAACGUUGUUCGGAAUUACUGGGCGUAAAGGGCUCGUAGGUGGCCAACUAAGUCGGACGUGAAAUCCCUCAGCUUAACUGGGGAACUGCGUCCGAUACUGGAUGGCUUGAGUUUGGGAGAGGGAUGCGGAAUUCCAGGUGUAGCGGUGAAAUGCGUAGAUAUCUGGAGGAACACCGGUGGCGAAGGCGGCAUCCUGGACCAACACUGACACUGAGGAGCGAAAGCCAGGGGAGCAAACGGG
rnacentral:rRNA from 1 species